GAUGAAGAACGUAGCGAAAUGCGAUACGUAGUGUGAAUUGCAGAAUUCAGUGAAUCAUCGAAUCUUUGAACGCACAUUGCACCUUUCGGUAUUCCGGGAGGUAUGCCUGUUCGAGCGUCAUUUGUACCCUCAAGCUCUGCUUGGUGUUGGGUGUUUGUUCCGCCUCUGUGUGUGAACUCGCCUCAAAACAAUUGGCAGCCGGCGUACUUGUUUCGGAGCGCAGCACAUUUUGCGAUCCAGAUCAACGUACAGCGGCAUCCAAGAAGCCUUAUUUAACGCUCUUGACCUCGGAUCAGGUAGGGAUACCCGCUGAACUUAAGCAUAUCAAUAAGCGGAGGA
rnacentral:misc_RNA from 1 species